GAUGAACGCUGGCGGUAGGCCUAACACAUGCAAGUCGAACGGCAGCGGGGGCUUCGGCCCGCCGGCGAGUGGCGAACGGGUGAGUAAUGCAUCGGAACGUGCCCAGUCGUGGGGGAUAACACAUCGAAAGAUGUGCUAAUACCGCAUACGUCCUGAGGGAGAAAGCGGGGGAUCUUCGGACCUCGCGCGAUUGGAGCGGCCGAUGUCGGAUUAGCUAGUUGGUGGGGUAAAAGCCCACCAAGGCGACGAUCCGUAGCGGGUCUGAGAGGAUGAUCCGCCACACUGGGACUGAGACACGGCCCAGACUCCUACGGGAGGCAGCAGUGAGGAAUAUUGGUCAAUGGACGCAAGUCUGAACCAGCCACGUCGCGUGAAGGAAGACGGCCCUACGGGUUGUAAACUUCUUUUAUACGGGAAUAAAGUGCCCCACGCGUGGGGUUUUGCAUGUACCGUAUGAAUAAGGAUCGGCUAACUCCGUG
rnacentral:rRNA from 1 species